rnacentral:lncRNA from 1 species
CCAAGAACUCAAAUCCCUAUUGGGACUCAGGUGGUCUUGUAGCUGCCCUUUGCCCCCAGGAUCUGAAAAAAACAGCCCUGCAGACUGAAGCCGGAAAACUUGAUAUAAACUUGAAAGAACUCAGAACCACAACAGAUUCUCCAGGGGCAGCCUUUGUGCCUGGAGCUGCUGCUACACAGGCCGCCCAGGAAGACCCCCCCUCCAGCUCCUGCAUGCCACAUGCUCUCUCCAGAAAGUAACCACAACUGGGAUACCAAUGCCUAUGCCAUCAUCACAGAC